CCUUGGCGUGUCCACAGACCCCCUUUCCCAAAGGCUUGGGUCUCGGUGCCAAAUGGCUCUGCUAUGUGCAUAGGACCAAACAACAAAAGGAACAACUGGUGUCUAUGACCAGGAUGAGCCACAAAGAGGUGUGACUCCAACUGUUGGCGAAUGCCGUCUCCCGGGCGGGAGAAUCCACUAGAACUCGCAAGUCUCAGAAAGGGGGAGAGUUCACGGCCGCCUAGAACCACUCAAUAGGAAGCUAGCAAUUUUGAUCCAUCUUUUUCAAGAGUGUUCUACAAGCAGUUAUCUCCAGCUCUAGUCUCUCAAAAUGCUUAUGAUUUCUCUUAAUCCAAAUGGACACCCAGAUACAGCAGGAAUAAAAAUGUGGGUAGAGGUGUGGGACAGUGGCAUCAUGUGAUGUCACUACUAGUUGUACUCUGGAAGUGA